rnacentral:lncRNA from 1 species
GCAGAGUCUGUCCAAGGAGGGGAAACCAGGAUCUAUUUGGAUCUGCCACAGAAUUUCAAGAUAUUCGUGAGCGGUUAGUUAAUAUCUUCACAUAGCCUUUUCUAAAUAAAGAUUAUUCUCAAUUUCUUAUACUCGUUCUUUGUGUCUACAGUUCUAAGGGGUUACUGUAUUAGUGGUACAGAUUUAGUAUAUUUUCUAUUUUAAAGGAAAAUUGGGAGGUGGGGGAUAAAA